rnacentral:rRNA from 1 species
CACGUAGGAUCCAAGCGUUAUCCGGAUUUACUGGGCGUAAAGCGUGUGUAGGUGGUUUGCUAAGUUGGGUGUUAAAUCUCUCGGCUCAACUGAGAGGUGUCGCUCAAAACUAGUAGACUGGAGGACGGUAGAGGAAGGUAGAAUUCCGGGUGUAGUGGUGAAAUGCGUAGAUAUCCGGAGGAAUACCAGUGGCGAAGGCGGCCUUCUGGACCGUUCCUGACACUCAGACACGAAAGCUAGGGGAGCAAACGGG